AAAAGAACAUUUCCGCUGCUGCUAUUUUAGUAGUUGAUAGGUGUGUUUGGACUUAUUUUAAAUGCAAGCACACACAGGUACUGAUACCUAGCAGUAGCUAUAAUCUUGGA
ensembl:miRNA gga-mir-6692 gga-mir-6692